CAAUCAUUCCAUACAACAAUAUAGAGACCUAUUGCAUAUAGUAUGAGAAAAACAGACCAAAACACAAAAACUUAACUAUAACCACUGAACCAUGAGGUCAAGGUCAGAUGACACCUACCAGUUGGACAUGUACACCUUACAGUCCUUCCAUACACCCAAUAUACUAGCCCUAUUGCUUGUAGUAUCUGAGAUAUGGACUUGACCACCGAAACUUAACCUUGUUCACUGAUCCAUGAAAUGAGGUCGAGGUCAAGUGAAAACUGUCUGACAGACAUGAAGACCUUUCAAGGUACGCACAUAUCAAAU
rnacentral:lncRNA from 1 species